CUAUAUCAAUGUGAAUAGCAGAAUAUCCGUGAAUCAUCGAGUCUUUGAACGCACAUUGCGCCUCAUGGUAUUCCGUGAGGCAUGCCCAUCUCAGCGUUAGUAGAUAUUAUCAAAUAUUGACAUUGUUAAUAUUUGGAUCUUGUCGAGGAAGCUAUUACUAUUAAUGUGGAUAGCUCCUUGGAAAUUCAUAGGUCUUCAAGUUGCUACCAUUGGAACGUGAUGAAAAUUCUGUCGUUCAUAUGUAGUUCACUUGUAUAGUUCCAAACAAAACUUAUAUACCUUUCUGGUAUUUUUUCAAUUUGACCUGAGAUUGGGUAGGGAUACCCGCUGAACUUAAGCAUAUACAAUAAGCGGAGGA
rnacentral:sRNA from 1 species